UGGGGAAUAUUGCACAAUGGAGGGAACUCUGAUGCAGCGACGCCGCGUGAACGAAGAAUGCUUUCGAGUCGUAAAGUUCCUUUAUAUGGGAAGAUAAUGACGGUACCAUAAGAAAAAGCCCCGGCUAACUACGUGCCAGCAGCCGCGGUAAUACGUAGGGGGCUAGCGUUUUCCGGAAUCACUGGGCGUAAAGGGUUCGCAGGCGGCAAUGCAAGUCAGGUGUAAAAGGCAGUAGCUUAACUACUGUAAGCAUUUGAAACUGCAUAUCUUGAGAAGAGUAGAGGUAAGUGGAAUUUUUAGUGUAGCGGUGAAAUGCGUAGAUAUUAAAAAGAAUACCGGUGGCGAAGGCGACUUACUGGGCUCAUUCUGACGCUGAGGAACGAAAGCGUGGGUAGCAAACAGG
rnacentral:rRNA from 1 species